GUGACAAUGUGAAUAUUGUAGUGAAAAAUGAUAAAUGCAAAGAAAUAAAAGCUUGGGCUUUACGCAAUAGAGUGUCCCACAAUACAGUGACUGAUUUGCUUCAAACCUUGCGAAAAAUAGGUUUAGUGGAUUUGCCCUUAACAGCAAAAAGUCUAUUAGGUACAAGUAGAAAAAAGGUUAAUAUUGAAACCAUUCCAAGUGGCGCGUUUUUAUAUAGAGGAAUUCAAAAUUAUUUUGAGAAAAAUUCAUUUCCUCACCUUGAAAUAAAAGAUAGCGUUGUACUUGAUAUAGGAAUAGAUGGUCUUAGAUUAUUCAAAAAUUCGAAUAAAGUAUUAUGGCCAAUUUUAGCGUCCAUCGUUGAUUUGCCAAACGAAUUGCCAUUUACAGUAGCAUGUUUUUCUGGAACAGAAAAACCCUGGAAUAUUAACGAUUUCUUAAAAGACUUUUGUGAAGAAGUAGCUUAUUUAAAAGAAAACGGUCUUCAGGUAGGUUCUUCUUCCGUUAAAAAGAAAUUUAACAUUCGUUUAUUUUGCUGUGAUUCUCCCGCUCGAGCUUUUGUCACAGGUGUGCAAUCGCACACUGGAAAAAACAGCUGUUCGAAAUGCGAUCAAAUCGGAGAAUACAAAGAGAGAAGAGUUUGUUUUUCAAAACGAGUUAAUCACUUAAGAACUGACUUGUCUUUUAAAAAUAGAAUUGAUAAAUCACAUCAUAUUAAUCCAUUUAAAUUUAGAGAAAGCAUUUUAGAAUUAGCUAAUUUCAAUAUGGUCUCCCAAUUUCCAUUAGACCCGAUGCAUCUUGUAGAUCUUGGUGUAUGUAAAAAUUUGCUUCAAUUACUAAUUAAAAAAGGGAAUAUAAAUGUAAGCAAAAUUAACGAAAAAAUAACUUUUCUCUCUAGUUUAGUUCCUUCUGAGUUUGGCAGGAUAUGUAAAAGUUUAGAUGAAAUCAGCAAUUGGAAAGCGACAGAGUUUAGGCAGUUUUUAUUGUAUAUAGGCAUAUUUGUCCUAAAAGAUUGUAUUAGUAGUGACCAUUACUACCAUUUUUUAUUAUUGCACGCAGGAAUAAGGCUGUUAUCAUGUGAAAAAUCAUAUAGUACUGAAGCUAACGUUGCCCAACAAAUAUUACAAGAAUUCGUUGAUUUGUUUGGGAAUAUAUACGGAGACCAUUUAGUUAGUUAUAACGUGCAUGGUUUACUGCAUUUAACUGACUGCACUAAGCAAUUCGGUCCUCUAGAUCAGUUUUCAGCCUAUAAGUUUGAAAACCAUAUGCAAUAUUUAAAAAAACUUAUAAAUAAACCGAAUAAAAUCCUUCAGCAAUUGCAUUUAAGACUUGAUGAAAGAACUAAUACAAACAUUGAACCCAACAAAACUUUAAAAAUUAAUUUAUUUAAUAUAGAAUUUAAAAAGGAAAAAGAUUCUUAUUGUUUUAGUGAAAAAUUAGGGCCCAUAAAAGUAAUAACUAUGUCGGACGAAUCUGGUUGCGUUAUGGUAUCUGCACAUUGUUUUUUAGAUGUUGAAAAUUAUUUUGAAGAACCUUUAGAAUCGUCAUCGGGUUUAGGUAUUUUAGUAGCGAAGGAAUUAGACAAAAAGGUAUUUAAAAUCAAAAAAGACGAUAUAGUUUACAAAUAUUUCUCUAUUCCACAUGAGGGAAAGUUUCUCCUUAUACCCAUUCUACAUCAUUUAUUUCAUAAAUUUUCAAAUUAGGAUUUUUAAGUAUUUAUGUACAUAUAUUUUUCUCGGCUCAUUUUAUUACAUUUUCUUAAAUUUUUGGAAAAGAACUUUGAUACUGCCAAUUUUUAUUUCUCAAUUAGAUGGAAAAUAUAUUUGACGAAAUUGACUUAGAGGAUUGUCCAACAACGUCUUCAACUCCCGCAAAAGACCAAUUACAUUUAAAGCAUAAAAAGUUUAACACGUCUGGUUGCUACAAUACAGAGGUCAGCAUUUCAAAACGACCUGUGGAAGGAAACGAGGUUAUUGACAUUUUAACCACUAUUUCCAAACAGCUUGACGAUUUGACGACGAGGGUAUGCGAUUUGGAAACUAAAAUCGAUAAGCAUUUAAAGGAAAAUAUUAUUCAUAAAAGUGAAGAAAUGGCGCAGCAAAAAACGGUUCGUGAAUGCAAGGUCCUCAUCCGCAAAAUUCAUCAAUCGGUAUGCCGAAUGACUGGUGAAGAUGUCGACAACGUUCAAACAGAAAUUGCUUCCACCCUACCAUUAAAUACGCUUGCUGCAGCUUUGGAAAUGGACGAAAAAUUGAAAUGCGACGAAUUUGCUGCUACAACGAAACAAUUCGUUUUGAGGAUAAAAGGUACUUCAGAUAGUGUACAUGAUGUGUUGCGAAGUCUGUACACUGAUGAACUUCUUUAUUUAUGUAACUGGGACGGUAGGGGUGGGAAGCAACCUCUCUCCAAAUUCCUGCUGGUUUCCAACAUUUUAUACGAUUCAUUCAUAACGUAUGGAUUGGCAAUGUUCGAAAAACAAGUUCGAAAAGCCAUUGAAAUGAGCCACCAUAGGCACAAACAAAGAAUUUAUAGGAAGAGGAAAACUGAGGAGUGAACCCUUUAAAUAAUUAAUAAAAAGUUACAUGUAUUUCUGAUAUUAUUAAAAAUAAUUAUUUUAAUACAUACUAGAUUUUAAGAAAGCAUUGCAAAGCAGGAAUUGAAUUAAUAAUGAAAUAUUUAUUUUAAUUUAA